UUUUUUUGGCCUUUCUCUUUUUUUUCCUCUUUUUUUCUUUUUUUCUUUUUGUAAAGUCCGAAGUCUCAUCCCGACUUGUGGGGGAAUCAUAGUCUUCAUCAUCCUUUCCUCACUAGGACAAUGCUCUAAUAAUGAACAUCAUCACACUUUUAUGGAUUUACAUCUCAAGAAUUACAACUCAAAGCUAGAACAAGAUAUGACUCUAUAUGAAUGCCUCCGGCGGUGUACCGGGAUAUGCAAUGAAUCAAGAGCGACAUGUAUGAAAAUAUGAAGGUGGUCAUGCCACAAAUACGAUGUCAACUACAUGAUCAUGCAAAGAGCAAUAUGACAAAAGUAAUGUGUGUCAUAUGAACGGGGCGGUGGAAAGUUGCAUGGCAAUAUAUCUCGGAAUGGCUAUGGAAAUGUCAUGAUAGGUAGGCAUGGUGGCUGUUUUGAGGAAGGUAUAUGGUGGGUGUAUGGUACCGGCGAAAGUUGCGUGACACAAGAGAGGUUAGGAAUGGUGGAAGGGUGAGGUGCGUAUAAUCCAUGGACUCAACAUUAGUCAAAAGAACUCAUAUACUUGUUGCAAAAAUCUAGAAUUCAUCAAAAACCAAAGCACUACGCGCAUGCUCCUGGGGGAUAGAUUUGUAGAAAAAGACCAUCGCUCGUCCCCGACCGCCACUCAUAAGGAAGACAAUCAAUAAAUAAAAUUGUGCUCCAACUUCAUCACAAAGCGGUUCACCAUACGUGCAUGUUACGGGAAUCACAACCCUCAACACAAGUAUUUUUCAUAAUCACCUCAACUAGCAUGACUCUAAUAUCACGACCUCCAUAUCUCAAAACAAUUAUCAAGCAUCAUAUUGAUCAUAGCAUCCAAUUCUUUUUCUAUGAUAGUUUUUAUUAUACCCAACUUGGAUGCUCAUCAUUCUAGGACCAACUUUGUAACCAUAGCAAAUACCAUGCUGUUCUAGAAGACUAGCAAUUUCUUCAAAAUUAAGACACCACCGGGCUCUAAAAGAUAUAAGUGAAGCACUAGAGCAAAAACUAUCAAGCUCAAAAGAUAUAAGUGAAGCACAUAGAGUAUUCUAGCAAAUUCUAAUCAAAUAGGCUUAUCCCAAAAGGUGUGUACAGAAAGGAUGAUUGUGGUGAACAAAAAAGCAAAGACUAAUAUAAUACACGACGCUCCAAGCAAAACACAUAUCAUGUGGCGAAUAAAAAUAUAGCUCCAAGUAAAGUUACCAAUGAAAGAAGAAGAAAGAGGGGAUGCCUUCCCGGGGCAUCCCCAAGCUUAGUAUUUUGGAUAUCCUUGAAUAUAUUGGGGUGCCAUGGGCAUCCCCAAGCUUAGGCUUUUUCCACUCCUUAUUCCAUAGUCCGUAAAAGCUUUACCCAAAACUUGAAAACUUCACAACACAAAACUCAACAGGAAAUCUUAUAAGCUCCGUUAGUGAAAGAAAAGAAAACCACCACAUAAGGUACUAUAAUGAACUCAUUCUUUAUUUAUUUUGGUGUUAAACCUACUGUAUUCCAACUUCUCUAUGGUUUAUAAACUAUUUUACUAGCCAUAGUUGCAUCAAAAUAAGCAAACAACACACAAAAACAGAGUCUGUCAAAAACUGAACAGUCUGUAGCAAUCUGUAACUAACGCAAAUUUCUUGAACCCUAAAAAUCCUACCAAAAUAGGAAGUCCUGGAAAAUUUGUCGAUUGAUCAGCAGAAAAAGAAUCAACGAAAAGAACGUUUCUAUGAUUUAACAAAACUAAAUUUGUGCGCAAAGUUUCUGUUUUUUCAGCAGAAUCAAAUCAACUAUCAUCAUAGGUUAUCCUAUAGGUUCUACUUGGCACAAACACUAAUUAAAAGAUAAAAACACAUCUAAACAGGAGGUAGAUGCAAGAUUUAUUAAUAAAUAGGAACAAAAACAAAAAACACAAAGAAAAUUGGGUUGCCUCCCAACUAGCGCUAUCAUUUAACGCCCCUAGCUAGGCAUAAAAGCGAAGAUAGAUCUAAGUAGUGCCAUCUUUGACACUAAAUUCAUAAGUAGCUCGCAUGAUAGAUUCAUAAGGUAAUUUGACUUUCUUUCUUGGAAAGUGCUCCAUGCAUUUCUUUAAUGUAAAUUGGAAUCUAAUAUUCCCUUUCUUCAUAUCAAUAAUCGCACCAAUCCUUCUAAGGAAAGGUCUACCAAGAAUAAUAGGGCAUGAAAGAUUGCAAUGUAUAUCAAGAACGGUAAAAUCUACUGGCACCAAAUUUCUAUUUGCAACAAUGAGAACAUCAUUGAUCCUUCACAUUAGAUUUUUAAUGGUGGAAUCCGCAAGGUGCAAAUUUAAAGAGCAAUCAUCAAGAUCAUGGAAACCUAGAAUAUCACAUAAAGUUUUUGGAAUCGUGGAAACACUAGCACCCAAAUCACACAAAGCAAAACACUCAUGGUCUUUAAUUCUAAUCUUUAUAGUAGGUUCCCACUCAUCUUUAAGUUUUCUAGGUAUAGAAACUUCCAAAUUAAGUUUUUCAUCAUAUGAUUGCAUCAAGGCAUCAACGAUAUGUUUGGUAAAAAGCUUUAUUUUGACUAUAAGCGUGAGGAGAAUUAACAACAGAUUGCAACAAGGAAAUACAACCUUCUAAAGAACAAUUAUCAUAAUCAAAUUCCUUGAAAUCCGAGAUGGUGGGUUCAAUGCUAUUUAAAGUCAUGACCUCUCCAAUUCCACUUUUACCAAAUUUAGCAUCAAGAUCUAAAAACUCUGAAUUCUUGGGACGCCUUCUAGGUAAAGUUGACUCAUCAUCAGUCCCAUAAUUAUCAAGGUUAAUAUUGCAAAGCAAAGAUCUAAUAGGAGACGCAUCAAUAACUUUAAGAUCCUCAUCAUUAUUUUUGUGGAAACUAGAAGAACACGCCUUUAUAAAGCUAUCUUUCUUAGCACGCAAUCUAGCGGUUCUUUCUUUGCACUCAUGAAUGAAAAUUCUCAUUGCUUUGAGAGACUCAUUGAUAUCAUGCUUAGGAGAAGAAGAUCUAACUUUAAGAGAAUCAACAUCAAGCGAAAGUCUAUCAACGUUCCUAGCCAAAUCAUCAACUUUGAGCAAUUUUUCUUCAAGCAAGGCAUUAAAAUUCUUUUGAGAAAUCAUAAUUUUUUCACAAUAUUCUCAAAAUCAGAGGGCAUCUUAUUAAAAUUACCAUAAGAAUUAUUGUAGGAAUUUCCAUAAUUAUUAGAGGAAUUACUAGGGAACGGUCUAGCAUUAAAGUUUCCUCUAUAAGCAUUGUUACCGAAACUAUUCCUACCAACAAAAUUCACAUCCAUAGAGUCAUUAUUAUUCUCAAUCAAAGUAGACAAAGGCAUAUCAUUGGGAUCAAGAGGAGUAUUCUUAGUAGCAAACAAUUUCAUAAGUUCAUCCAUCUUUCCACUCAAAACAUGGAUUUCUUCUAUAGCAUGCACUUUUUUACUAGAAGAUCUUUCGGUGUGCCAUUAAGAAUAAUUAGCCAUAAUAUCAUCAAGAAGUUUUGUAGCAUCUCCUAACGUGAUUUCCAUAAACAUGCCUCCCGCGGCCGAAUCUAAGAGAUUUCUAGAAGCAAAGUUCAAACCGGCAUAAAAUUUUUGUAUGAUCAUCCAUAAAUUCAAACCAUGAGCAGGGCAAUUGCGAAUCAUCAAUUUCAUUCUUUCCCAAGAUUGGGAAACAUGCUCAUGAUCAAGUUGUUUAAAAUUCAUAAUAUCGUUCCUAAGAGUGAUGAUCUUAGCAGGAGGAAAAUACUUAGAGAUAAAAGCAUCUUUGCACUUGUUCCAAGAAUCAAUACUAUUUUUAGGCAAAGAUGAAAACCAAACUUUAGCACGAUCUCUAAGUGAAAACGGAAAUAACUUCAUUUUAACAAUAUCGUUAUCUGUAUCUUUCUUCUUUUGCAUAUCAUACAAAUCAACAAAGUUGUUUAGAUGAGUAGCGGCAUCUUCACUAGGAAGGCCGACGAAUUGAUCUUUCAUAACAAGAUUCAGCAAAGCAGUAUUGAUUUCACAAGACUCAACAUCAUUAAGAGGAGCAAUCGGAGUACUAAGGAAAACAUUAUUAUUGGUAUUCAAGAAAUCACACAAUUUGGUAUUAUCUUGCGCCAUGGCAACAAGUAAUCCAACACAGAAGCAAAUAGAAAAAGGCAAGCGAAAAGAGAGGAGGAGAUUGGGAAAGAGAGGGCAAAUAAAACGGCAUGGGUGAGGUGGGGGAGAGGAAAACGAGAGGCAAAUGGCAAAUAAUGUAAAUGCGAGGGAGAUGGGUUUGUGAUGGGUACUUGGUAUGUCUUGACUUGAGCGAAGACCUCUUCGGCAACAGCGCCAUAAAUCCUUCUUGCUACGUCUUGAGCUUGCGUUGGUUUUCCUUGAAGAGGAAAGGGUGAUGCAGCAAUAGUAGCAUAAGUAUUUCCCUCAGAUUUUGAGAACCAAGGUAUCAAUCCAGUAGAAGGCUCCUCAAAAGUCCCAUGCACCUACACAAACAAACAAAGAACUCGCAACCAACGGAAUAAAGGGGUUGUCAAUCCCUUCACGACCACUUGCAAAAGUGAGAUCUAAUAGAGAUAGUAUGAUAAGAUAAAUAUAUUUUUGGUAUUUUAUAAUAUAGAUGCAAAAAGUAAAGAUGCAAAUAAAAGUAGAUUGGAAGCAAAUAUGAUAAGAGAUAGACCCGGGGGCCAUAGUUUCACUAGUGGCUUCUCUCAAGAUAGCAUAAGUAUUACGGUGGCUGAACAAAUUACUGUCGAGCAAUUGAUAGAAAAGCGAAUAAUUAUGAGAUUAUCUAGGCAUGAUCAUGUAUAUAGGCAUCACGUCCGCAACAAGUAGACUGACUCCUGCCUGCAUCUACUACUAUUACUCCACACAUCGACCGACUCCUGCCUACAUCUAGAUUAUUAAGUUCAUAAGAACAAAGUAACGCCUUAAGCAAGAUGACAUGAUGUAGAGGGAUAAACUCAUGCAAUAUGAUAUAAACCCCAUCUUUUUAUCCUCGAUGGCAACAAUACAAUACGUGCCUUGCAACCCUUUCUGUCACUGGGUAAGGACACCGCAAGAUUGAACCCAAAGCUAAGCACUUCUCCCAUGGCAAGAAAGAUCAAUCCAGUAGGCCAAACCAAACUGAUAAUUCGAAGAGACUUGCAAAGAUAACUCAAUCAUACAUAAAAGAAUUCAGAGGAGAUUCAAAUAUUUCUCAUAGAUAAACUUGAUCAUAAACCCAUAAUUCAUCGGAUCUCGACAAACACACCGCAAAAGGAGUUUACAUCGAAUAGAUCUCCACAAGAGAGGGGGAGAACAUUGUAUUGAGAUCCAAAAAGAGAGAAGAAGCCAUCUAGCUAAUAACUAUGGACCCGAAGGUCUGUGGUAAACUACUCACAACACAUCGGAGGGGCUAUGGUGUUGAUGUAGAAGCCCUCCAUGGUCGAUUUCCCCUCCGGCGGAGCGCCAACGAAGGCUCCAAGAUGGGAUCUCUCGGAUACAGAAGGUUACGGCGGUGGAAAUUGUGUUUCGGUGGCUCUCUGGAUGUUUUUGGGGUACGUAGGCUUAUAUAGGAGGAAGAAGUACGUCGGUGGCCGCCCGAGGGGCCCACGAGACAGGGGGCACGCCCUAUAGGGGGGGCGCGCCCUCCUAUCUCGUGGAGGCCUCGGCUGCUUCUUGACUUGCACUCCAAGUCCUCUGGAUCACGUUCGUUCCAAAAAUCACGCUCCCGAAGGUUUCAUUCCAUUUGGACUCCGUUUGAUAUUCCUUUUCUUCGAAAUACUGAAAUAGACAAAAAAACAGCAAUACGGGUUGGGCCUCCGGUUAGUAGGUUAGUCCUAAAAAUGAUAUAAAUAUGUAAAAUAAAGCCCAUAAACAUCCUAAAGGGGUAAUAUAAUAGCAUGGAACAUUAAAAAAUUAUAGAUACGUUGGAGACGUAUCAAAUACAUGCCUACAUUAUAUCGAUGAAAUGGAGCUAGUGCCGUAUCGCCCUAGGUUAUAACUGUCACAUGAUGAAUAUCAUCCAACAAGUCACCGAUCCAAUGGCUACGAAUUUAUCUUAUAUUGUUCUUGCUAAGUUACUACUGUUGCCACUGCUAUCGUUACUGCUACAAUAUCACUACUACCACUGUUAUUGUUACCAUUACUACUGCUGCUAUAAUCAAAACUAUCAUACUACUGUGCUACUAAUCACUUUGCUGCAGAUAAUUAAUCUCCAGGUGUGGUUGAAUUGACAACUCAGCUGCUAAUACCUUCAAAUAUUCUUUGGCUCCCUUUGUGUCGAAUCUAGAAAUUUGGGUUGAAUGUUCUACCCUCGAAAACGUUGCGAUCCCUUAUACUUGUGGGUUAUCAGGCCCUGCCAUCGAUGAGGGUCUUGGUUACUACCACGUUGCAGAUGAUGGGGGUGUAGAGCAUCGGGAGCGUGCCUGCGCCCGCUGUGGAAGCGGGGUGGUCCUCCGAAUCGAAAGUGAGGUAGGCCUUGGGCACCGCCCAGCCCGAGGGAGCCCCCGGCUGUGCGCAGGCGGCUCCCACUUGGCGGAAGAACUACUUAACGUGGUGGCCCGAGGGUGGCGUUGCGAGCCACCGAGGAGGGAUGCCACGGCGUGGGGCGUCGGUGUCGUGAAGUGCGUGAUGAAGAGGCCAUGCAGCUCCUCCCAAGAAGCCACAAAAGAUUCUGGCAAGUUGAGCAGCCAGGCACAUGGCACACCCACAAGGGCCAUGGGGAGCCAGCUGGCCAUGACCUUGUCAUCCCCGCCGGCUGCCCAAACUGCCUCCUCGUACGCUUGGAGGAAGCCAGCCGGAACUAGCAGGGUGGCAACUCCGGCCUGAACUUGGGUGGCCACUGCACCCGCCGCAGAGCGGGGGUGAAAGCCCGGAGGCGCAUGGCUCCCCCAAAGGUGUGUGACGGUCUAGUCGACGGUGGAGCACCUGCCAUGAGAGCCGGCAGCGGAGCGUAGCGGACGAAGCGGCGGAUCUUCGAUGCACCCCUACCUGGAGCGCCAAAUGUAGGAUUACGGGUUCCGCAAACCCUUGAGAGGUUCAAACUCUAGGAUGCGUGCAAAUAUCUCUCUCUCCCUAGUCUGCCGACUCGCUAAUCUCAUAGCCUAACGCGUCGAGCUCAAAGGAAAUGGAAAACGGCAAUUUACCCAGGUUUAGGCCACCUUGCGGUGUAAAUCCCUACUCCUGCUUUGUGGUGGAUUUGCCUCGAGGGGCUGAGGAAGAACUAGCAAAGUGGAGAACAACCUCAGGAGGUGUGUUCUUGGGCUCAAAUGAGCUGGUGAGCUGGUGAGGGUGGAAUGGAUCCGAUCCCCCUCCUUGAUGGUGGCCAGGUCCUAUUUAUAGUGGCCUUGGUCCUCUUUCCAAAUAGAGGCGGGAAGGGAUACUACAACAACCAAAUUUGAAGGUAGGCAACAAGUACAUCUUAUCCUGACUAAAGUGGUCUUCGCGUGCAAAAGCCUCAGGCUGUGACGUUGCGGUGGGCUCGGCGAUGACCUCCAUCCCGUCGUCCUGGUUGUCUUGGUCUUGUUGCACAGGAAUGGAAACAUUUAACUGCUUCCUCGAGACUCCGCGCCUGCUGCUUGCCUCCUUUGCACCAAAGAGGAAACUGGUACACUGCCCGCUGGCGCCCGCUUGGCCCCGAUCGUCAUGGUUCACGUCACUCGAACCUCAUGAGGUGAGCCUUGCAUAAAAAUCUCCGCUCCUCAGGAGCCAGCCUGAGGAGGCUGAUCCCCUUGGAGGUCUCGGUUUCAUCCGCCUCAUGAUGCUUGGCCCUCGCGAGGGUCUUGGGUUGUCGUUGUCGAAACUGGGUUGUACCAGGACGUUGGUGAAGCCACGCCACGGAUCGUAGGCAGGCAAGUCUGGGUACCCUGUAUCCAGAACACCGACAAAAACUUCGUCCCCGAGCUCGAUUCAGAGCUUCCAGGAACAAACAAAAGAUUCAAAUAGAGGUGCAACAACACGUAUAUGAAGAAGCGGAGUUCAGACAGUCGAGAGGAUCAUGGAAGAUGGUCGAUUCACUCGCCAGAGUUUGGCUCUGCAGCGGAUCUUCUCGAGGCCAGCGAGCACAAAAUUAGGGUAGGCCUCAAGCGGUGAUUGUGGGAAUCGGUUGACGCGUUUGAGAGGAGUCUCUUGGUGCCCGCGGGUAGGAGUGAGGGAUUCAGGAUUGGGCGAAUCGCAUGGAGUCCAAUCUGUGCAUGGCGGCAUUGUCGUGCAGAAGCAGGAGACCGAGUGGGAGGUCGAAGGAUGCGUGCGGGAGCCCAUGUGUCGGCAGCAGAGAAAAAAGAGGGGGCAGAGAGAGGUGCGCCUGCGUGGUGGGCUGGGGCUGCGCUGUUGUUCGGCCUGCUGCUGCGCUGUCUCGCGCGUGUGAGCAGCGGAGAGGGACUGGGCCGCCGGGAUAGCUAGGCCGGGUAGGUUUAGAAUAGUUUUUUUUCUCUGGAAUUACAGAAAAUCAAUUUGUCUCAGUUACUUGAACCAAAUAAAAUUCUAUAAAAAAUACAAGAAAAUUUACAAAAUAUAGAUAUACAAUAUAAUGAAUACUGAACAUUUUCACAGGUCAAAAUACUUAUUAGAAAACAAUACAUAUAAUAUUUUCGUAAACUUUACUUUGACACUUAUAAAAUGUUCCGUAAAAUAUUAUUGAACUCAAGAGAAAGAUUCAAAUAACAUUUAAAGAAUUUCCAACUAUUGAAGGAGUCAUGUUACCUUCUCUCCUAAAAUUUAUUUUUGAGUUGGAAUUGUUUUAAAUGUUCAACAUCCAAAUGAGAGAAUAUUCAAUUAUUCACCAAUAUUAUUCUUUGAGGAAGUCAUGUCAUCCUCUCUCAUAUUUAAAUUGGAAAUAUUAUGAAUAUUCUCAAACCUAAAAUAAGAUCCAAAUGAAAAUUGGGAAAGUCCUUUUAUUCCCUCUCAAUUGAAUAUUCAGUUAAACUCCAAAAGUUUCAAAUCCUAGUCAAAAUUUACUAAUGACAAGCAACACAAGAAAAGUUUUUUAAUAAAUCCUAUUUAACAAUUAACAUUCCAAAAUUUAAAUUUUUGGGAUGUUACAACCCCUCUGGUACUUCUUCGGUCCAUCGUGUGUCUUCGGAUCCAGAAAAAAAUCUACAAAAAGUUUCGUUGCAUUUGGACUCCGUUUGGUAUUGAUUUCCUGCGAUGUAAAAAACAAGUAGAAAACAACAACUGGCACUAGGCACUAUGUCAAUAGGUUAGUACCAAAAAUGAUAUAAAAUGAUUACAAAACAUCCAAGAAUGAUAAUAUAACAACAUGGAACAAUAAAAAAUUAUAGAUACGUUGGAGAUGUAUCAGUAGCCCAUAUUGAAACGGACGUAGUAGUACACACUCUCCCUCGCCCCUCGCUGAUGACCCACAAGUAUAGGGGAUCAAUCGUAGUCCUUCCGAUAAUUAAGAGUUUUGAACCCAACGAGGAGCAGAAGGAAAUGACAAGUGGUUUUCAGCAAGAUAAUUUCUGUGAGCACUGAAAUUGUCGGUAACAGGUAGUUUGAUAGCAAGAUGAUUUGUUACAAGUAAGAAGUAACAAUAGUAAAAAUAAUUGCAGUAAGGUAGCCCAAUCCUUUUUGUAGCAAAGGACGGGUUGCGAUAGUCUCAAAUAAUGAGUAAAACGUUCUUUUGGACACACGGGAAUUUCAUCCAGUCACUUUCAUCAUGUUGGUUUGAUUCACGUUCGCUACUUUGAUAUGUGGGUGGACCGGUGCUUGGGUGCUAUUCUUACUUGAACAAGCCUCACACUCAUGAUUAACCCCCUCGCAAGCAUCCGCAACUACAAAAGAAGAAUUAAGAUAACAAUCUAACCAUAGAUUAAACAUAUGGAUCCGAAUCAGUCCCUUAUGAAAAUAGCGCAUAAACUAGGGUUUAAGCUUUUAUCACUCUAGCAACCCAUCAUCUAACAACUACUCCGCAAUGCAUUCCCUUAGGCCUAAAGAUGGUGAAGUGUUAUGUAGUCGAUGUUCACAUAACACCACUAAGGGAAUCACAACAUGCAUAUCAUCAGAAUAUUGAACGAAUACCAAAUUCACAUUAUUACUUGCAACAUGACUUCUCCCGUGGCGUCAAGAACAAGGGAAACUACUCACAAAUAAUACUCAUGCUCAAGAUCAUAGGAGUAAUAAAUAGCAUAAUGGAUCUGAACAUAUGAUCUUCCACCAAAUAAACCAGCUAGCAUCAACUACAAGAUGUAAUCAACAAUACUAGCCACCCACAGGUACCAAUCCGAGGUUUUGAUACAAAGAUUGAACACAAGAGAUGAACUAGGGUUUGCGAUGAGAUGGUGCUAUUGAAGAUGUUGAUGAAGAUUGGCCUCCCAAAGACGAGAGGGUUGUUGAUGAUGACGAUGGCUUCAAUUUCCCCCUCCCAGAGGGAACUUUCCCCGGCGGAAUCGUUUCGCCGAAGGGCAAAAGUGCUCCCUCCCAAGUUCCACAUCGAGACGGCAGCGCUCCGUCCCGAAAUUCCCAUCCUUAUUUUUUCUAGGUUAAAAGACCUUAUGUACUAGAAAAUGGGCACUAGAGGUGGGCCGAGGAGCCCGCUACCCACCAGGGCGCGCCAGGGGGGCAGGCACGCCCUAGUGCCUUCUAGGCACCUGGGUGGCCCCUCUGGUAGUUAUUUUAUCCAAUAUUUAUUAUAUAUUCCAAAAUAUUUCUCUGUAAAAUUUCAGCUCAUUUGGAGAUGUGCAGAAUAGGAAUCUCUUGCGUAGCUUUUUCAGGUCCAGAAUUCCUGUUAGGACUGAGAGUAUAUCGACCAGAGGGGGGUGAAUGGGAGAUUCAAAGAAAAUUCUUGCGAAUGUUUUGAACUGAUCCCAAACACAACAACGAAAAUAAGGUUCAGUUGAAAAGAACUCAAUCAAGCAUGCUAUUGAGGAACAUAACUUCAAUGUAGAAAGCAAUAAAGGUUCAUGCCUAAAUAUCACAGGUUUGACCAUAAUGAUGGUAAUGCAAUAUGCAAACAGAUGCAGUAGCAUGAGAGAAAACACGAUAAGAAUUGCGAAGGAUAAGUACGAGAGAUAACAAGGAUGAGGUGAAUGAAAGCAACACAAGGACAACAUACCAGUCUUAACAAGAUAAGUAUGAAGCGAAGUACAUUUAACUGGGAUGUCUAAGCUGAAAGAUGAGAAUGCAGCAGGGAGAGUAACGAACUAUAACUGAUUGGAAAUGACAGAGAUAACAUAUAUGAAUGAUAUGCAACAGUCAAUGGUUGAUCAGAUAAACCAUUGUCACAGAGCACGGAAUAAAUUGCUGAAGGUAAUACAAUGAAGUAAAUAGAACUAGUGGUGCUUGAUGGCGAUAGAUGAAUUUGGUAGACCAGUUCGCCCUUCUGCAAAAGGACUACGUCUGUUUGGAGGGGUUGUGAUUUAAUAUAGAAGAUAAACACUGUUCGCCCUAUUCCCCUUCAACUCAGAGCUGAUCAGACUCUAGUUGAUUCACUCGUGGUAGAUACUUGUCGGCGAUCUCCAAACCUUCGACAAGCCCUCUUCGCGAACCACAAUGACUCUUGGUUGCUGAAGUUCUUGCUCGGUGAAGACAACAACUCCUCAACACUCGAGCCGACACCUAUCCGUCUAGAGAGUGCGCAGCUCCCAACAGUAAUAGGUACAAGAACUCUAACUCAGAACUAUUGUGAUGCUCAACCACUGUCUAAGUUUGGGCUCUAGAUUUUUCUCCCGGUGGAUCUUAAACUCAAAUCACUCGGAGAGGGGUUGCUCAAUCAAUCUUCUCAGAAAUCUUAAGCAAAACAGCCAGUGGGCAACAUUGGAGUGGGGUGUCUAUUUAUAGCCGCAACCUUCCCUGAAGGGAAAAGACCAAAUUGGACAUGUGGAGCAGCCAAUGGAUGAAUGACACAAGUCCAAUGGUCAGAAAUUGAGCACAAGGGUAGCAUUCCUUGCGGAGAAAGUAAUGCUAACUCCUCAGUUCGAAAGAUAUCUCCUGCAGCACGAAGAACAACGUCUAUAGCUGCCAGGUAAUCAUUCAAAACAUAAAGAGAUUUCUCUCAGUCUCGCAUAGGUUUUGGUCUAAGCAUCGCAACGGAUCUAAGCUUCGAGAACCUAUACCCCUCUUAAUAGUAUGGAGGUCCUAUGACUCAAUUAAAUGAAAGAAGAACAACAAAAUGAAUACUAUGUCUUCACUUUGUCUUCGACUUCCAUUCGCUACAGUCAAAUUUAUUUGGACAAAAUCUCUGAACCAAUUGCUUCACGUUAGCAAUAAAUUUUCGAGGGGUUAACUCCUUCACAUCAAUCUUCUCGCCUACAUGUAAUCAACAGAUGUAGCUCAUUCUUCUAUGCAAUGCAGAUAUUCUUUGGUGAAGUUCCUCGAACUUGACACCAGAGACAACAUUCUCUUCAGUUCUGCAUGGACUAUUUCUCUCUGUAUCCACUAGCAAACAAAUCAGUCCAUGCAUGUCGCUGUCAACAAUCUCCAAAACAUAGGAGGGAAAAUAUUGCACCAACAAUCUCCCCCUUUUUGGACGAUUUUUGACAAAACAGAACACAUCAAAAGAUAGAAAACUGAAAGUAACAGAAUGCGAAGGAUAACCGAAGACGAGAGUUAAUUACGAAGAUCAAACACACUCCCCCUUAAGGUAUGCAUCACUUGGAGAAUGCAAAGGAGAUAAGUUGGAAGGUAGCGAGAUGAAUCUUCGUAUGAGUGACAUUGACAUAUAAUCUAAUUCGAGGUCUCUUUCAAUGCACUCGACAGUGUCUAAGAUAUUUCCUAUCACACACAAUCUUUCAAAAAGAUUCGUUAGAUAAGGUGAAUACUUUGAAAUGAUUUGUGACGAAGCAUAAGUCAAGAGAAUUUUUCUUAGAACAUGGUUUGAAUCCACAUUAGAUAUAAGUUCCCUGCAAGUUGGAUACUUUGAAGAGAAUCAGAGCAAGGGAAACAUGGGUAUAUUUGCUCAGAUUAGAUAUGCUUCAGACAAAGUUUUCUAGCGACAAAGAUGAUACGAUGGAUAUACUGCAAGGAAAAAAAGUUGAAAAGACAUAUAUAAAGAAUUUUCUUUCGAAUAGCAAUAAGUUUGGAUUAGACCUACUUUCUUCUUCUGCAAGAUUAGAUAGCGAAAGAUAAUUAUUAUAGAAUAUAUAACCAUAAGACAUAUAUAGUUUUAGGGAGUGAAAUAUCUCUUCUAGAGAAGCAUGAUUUCCAAUACUCCUUGAACUGCUUUUACUUUCCCUGCACGAAACUUAAGUAUAGAGAAUAAAUAGCAAGGAAGUAAGCUUUCAAUUUCACCUGCAAACAGAUAACUGGAAGCAAAUAGCAUUGCAGGGGGUUAUUAACGGUACAUGACGACAAGUAUUUCACCACCACAGGCGGUG
rnacentral:lncRNA from 1 species